AUUCAGCUGACAAGUCCCGAAUAAGACGAAAUGCGCGUUCUGAGU
rnacentral:hammerhead_ribozyme from 1 species